AUGCACUCUAACCAACUAUUAUAUAGUGAAUGUCUUGAAAUCUCAGUUUUUUAUGAUACAAAAUUUGUCUCACAUGCGAGCCUCCCAGCAAGGGGCGCGAGACAAAUGAGUAAUUAUUUUUCACAACUUUAUCUAUUCUUCAUUCACGAGGUUGAUUGGGUGAGACAUGUGACACAUGGAUGCUUACUUUGGCAGUUGUGAGAGGUACUAAGUUUGCAAAUGAGUGACAUGAGUUCUAAAUGAGUGUGGAGAUUUUUUUUCAAAAAGAUCAAUUUUGGGUUAUGGAAUAUGAAGAUGUAAGCAAUCUUGAUUCAACAAAAAUGUGCAACAACAUUGAAAGGUGAUGUAUCGAUGUCAAAAAUCCUGCCACAAUUAGAUAAGACCAAGAUGAGUGUAAUUAUUUUGUGUCUCAGAGCUAAAGUAUUGAAGGAAAUCGCAAAUGAGAAGACCAAAGAGAAAAUAUGGGUAAAGUUUGAAUCAUUAUAUAUUACUAAGUCAUUGGAUCUUAAGUUGUGUCUGAAAUAACAAAUUUAUUCAUUUUGAAUGGUGGAGAACAAAUCGAUUUUGGAGCCAUUAACAUAAUUUCAUAAAAGUAUUGAUAACUUACAAAAUCUUAAGGUGAAAUUUAUGAUAAGGACGCCAAUUUACUCUUGUUGAGCUCAUUACCUAGAUAUUUUGAGAAUUUCAAGGAUAUCUUUCUUUAUGGUAGGACAAUCACUAUCACCUUAUAUCAAGUUCAAUUGACGAUUAUGACCAAUGAGCUUAAAAUGCUUAAGGACUUGAAGGUUGAAUAUAAUGGAGAAAACUUGAAUAUUUCAAGAGUGGGAGUAAGAGUAUAGGAAACCCAAAGUGUAGGAAAUCUAAGUCUAAGAUUAAGUCAAAGAUGUUUGAUAAAUUAAAGUACAAAAUGAUUCAUUUUUCAUAAAACCUAUCCUUCAAGAAGAACUCUCCCGAUAGGGGAGCAAGGGUGAUUAUGUUUAUAUUGUGGUUAUUUCAUACGAGGAUGAUUAUGAGAGUGUUUGUGAACUAGAGGUAAAUAUUUUGAAGACAUAAAAGAGUCAGAUAAUGGAACCUAGAUGCUUUUAUCAAAUGUGUCCAAGAAAGAAUAAUUUGAGACUUUGAAGUUAAACGAAGGUGGAUGUUCUACUCAGUAAGAAUAAGUCUUGUAAGAUUUAUGGUAUUGGAAUGAUUCAGAUUAAGAUGUUUUUGAAAAUUGUCAGUUCCUUUAAUGUAGUGUGAGGCAUGUUCCCAAAAUUAAAGAAAAUUAUUAUCCAUAAAUAUGUUUGGUUAUUCAGGAAAUUGCACUAGAAGUGAACAUUACAUGAUGCAAAUUUUGCAUAAUGUAUUGACAAUUACUAAAGAGUUUAAAAUAUGUAGUUUGUAUAUUUUGGAUAA